UACGUAGGUGGCGAGCGUUGUCCGGAUUUACUGGGCGUAAAGGGCGCGCAGGCGGUCGUACAAGUCGCGUGUGAAAGCCCCCGGCUCAACUGGGGAGGGUCACGCGAUACUGUUCGACUCGAAGGCAGGAGAGGGAAGCGGAAUUCCCGGUGUAGUGGUGAAAUGCGUAGAUAUCGGGAGGAACACCAGUGGCGAAGGCGGCUUCCUGGCCUGUUCUUGACGCUGAGGCGCGAAAGCUAGGGUAGCAAACGGG
rnacentral:rRNA from 1 species